rnacentral:lncRNA from 1 species
CCAAUCCAGAGGAAGACCUUCUAAAAGAGGUGAUGGAUGGGAGAGUGCUGACAUACUAUGUGAAGCUACUAUUUGGAGUUGGACACGAGUGCAUGUGACCUUGUGCCACAGCGGCAAUCUUGACUACCACACAAAUGAAUCCAUUCAAAUGUUGGCAAGUGGAGCAGAGUCCCAGGACAGAGUUACUAUGAAUUAUUAUAUUGUGGCUACUUACACCAAGAUGAAGAUAAUUAGUUCAGGAAGAAUCUGCAUUCUGAAGACAAAUAGAAGUUCCAGCUACAGAUGGGCAGACGCAUGCCCUCUCAAUUCCUGAUGGACCUCCUAAUGCCUCCUGGACCUAAGGGGCCUCCCUCAAUGUUCCAAGAUGCCACCAAGGCAGGGAUCAGCUCGUGCAUUCCUGAGAACAUCCAGGAUGAAGUGAGGCUCUGGAAAAAUGCAAGAGUUUCCACAUAAUCCCAAAAAACCCUACAGGUGAACUGGAUGCCACAGAAAGAGGAGUGGUCUUUGUUACAAUGAAAUCAACAAAAUUAUUUCGAAGUCAAUUAGGAAACUCAGAAAUCACUCUUGCUACCAUUAAGAGGAAGAACAGGAGCCUGUGAAUGGCGUCCCUGGCCUACCUGAGACUCCACAGAUAUUUCUAUGUGGCUUCAGACAGCAGAAAUCUCUGUGAUUUACAGAAAGGCAGGGACAGCUCAUGCCAGCCCAUCCCUCUGCAGAAUGUCUCCCAGCAGAUCAGUGGCAU